GAUGAAGAACGUAGCGAAAUGUGAUAAGUAAUGUGAAUUGCAGAAUUCAGUGAAUCAUCGAAUCUUUGAACGCACAUUGCGCCCCUUGGUAUUCCGAGGGGCAUGCCUGUUCGAGCGUCAUUAUAACCCCUCAAGCUCAGCUUGGUGUUGGGGCCUGCUGCACUGGCAGCCCUUAAAAUCAGUGGCGGCGCCAUCUGGCUCUAAGCGUAGUAAUUCUUCUCGCUAUGGAGUCCUGGUGGAUGCUUGCCAUCAACCCCCAAUUUUUCUAUGGUUGACCUCGGAUCAGGUAGGGAUACCCGCUGAACUUAAGCAUAUCAAUAAGCGGAGGA
rnacentral:misc_RNA from 1 species